UACAGAGGGUGCAAGCCUUGUUCGGAAGUAUUGGGCGUAAAGCGCGUGUAGGCGGCUUUGCAAGUCGGGUGUGAAAGCCCUCAGCUCAACUGAGGAAGUGCGCCCGAAACUGCAGAGCUUGAGUGCCGGAGAGGGUGGCGGAAUUCCCCAAGUAGAGGUGAAAUUCGUAGAUAUGGGGAGGAACACCGGUGGCGAAGGCGGCCACCUGGACGGUAACUGACGCUGAGACGCGAAAGCGUGGGGAGCAAACAGG
rnacentral:rRNA from 1 species